GCUGCGCCUGGGCGGCUUCCGGGCCGCCGAGGUUGGAGGUCUUGAGCAGUUGCCCGUUCUGGAUCUCGGCACCGUGCGCCGCGGUGGAGUUGCCC
rnacentral:tRNA from 1 species